UUCUUUUUACUUCUAACAUAUAAAAUGGGUAUCUAAGAGAGUGAGAUAUUACAUAGAUUGGAUGAAACAAAGUUCAUCAGUAGGUUCACAACAUCACAGAAUGUUUAAGGUUGGAAGGGACCUCUGGAGGUCAUCUUGCCCAACCCACCUGCUCAAGCAGGAUCACCCAAAGCAGGUUGCCCAUGACUAUAUCUCGAUGGAUCCGUUCCACAUAAACUUCCAAGGACAUACUCCACUCUUCACCAUCAAAAUUCAAUGAUGAUGCCGUCACACCUUCUAGGUUUGCAUUUCUAGGUGCAAACUCUUCUCUAGCUUUUUCAGCACUGCUGUUUCUCAUUCGCCCAUGGAUUUUCCAGCAGGAAUUGUUUGACAUGCGGGUAGUUAAUAACCCCGCAGUUGCUACGAGAGUGUAGUUCUAAUGACAGGAAACAGGAGGAAGAAGGGGGUACUUUUGGAGUGUUUUAUUGUAAUUUAAGUAGGUUUCUAAGAUAUGAGAAGAUGGUAAUCAUGUCAGAGGUUACAAGGAGUUUCUGUGCAAUCGCAAAUCCAUAUUCUCCAUCCUAACACAGGGUCUGGGAGAAGGGCAGCCAAAGGUAAGUGGCAGAAGCAGGAGGAGUAAGACAGCUGUUAACCAACUCUGGUUUGUCUCUCCCUCUUAUCAGAUCAUAACUUCACAGUAGCAGCUUCCACAGCAAAAUCCUUGUAGCCUUUCCAGAUUAACUUUCAAGCCUGACUCCCUAGACAUGGGAAAUUUCAGACACACAAGAGCAGCAAAUGAAGCAGAGAAGUUCUUCUGGUUGUGACAAACUGCAUGGGAUCCAUCUCUGAUGGAGCUUGGUUUCCUUUGCAUAAAAGCCCUGCAGGUUAAUGGACUAGGUUAAUUUGUCAUUAGGUGUUAGGAAAAUCCUGACAAAGAUCAAGUCCAUGCUGUGAAUGUUUGAUGGGCACCUGUCUGUGUUUUUUCCAAUUGGCUAAGGUUUCCACUGAUGGACAUGUAUUUCAAACUGCUGUAAGGUCAAUCUGCACUCAACUAUUUCAUGCUGGUAGAAGUGCCAAGGAAUGUCACUGAAUGAAAUAAUUUGGGAUACAACAUGGUGUAACAGUACACAAUUGCUCUGCUAAGAUUAUUUCAGUUUUACAUCCACUUAUGAAACUACAACAGAAAUCUGUCUACUGGUGUCCAUAUGUCUGCAACAGGGAAUCUGGCCAGCUCACAGAAACUGCCUCUCCUCCAAGAGCUGCAUACUGAAGCAAAUUCCCAGUUUAUUGAAAAAUAGUUUUGCUAUUUUGCCA